AACGCUGGCGGCGUGCCUAACACAUGCAAGUCGAGCGGAGACAGUGAGUAGCUUGCUAUGAGCUGUUUUAGCGGCGGACGGGUGAGUAACGCGUGAGCAACCUUUCCCAGACAGGGGAAUAACACACCGAAAGGUGUACUAAUACCGCAUAAGACCACGGUUUCACAUGGAACUGAGGUAAAAGAUUUAUCGGUUUGGGGUGGGCUCGCGUCCGAUUAGGUAGUUGGUGAGGUAACGGCCCACCAAGCCGACGAUCGGUAGCCGACCUGAGAGGGUGAUCGGCCACAUUGGGACUGAGACACGGCCCAAACUCCUACGGGAGGCAGCAGUGGGGAAUAUUGGGCAAUGGGGGGAACCCUGACCCAGCAACGCCGCGUGGAGGAAGAAGGUUUUCGGAUCGUAAACUCCUGUCCUUGGAGACGAGUAGAAGACGGUAUCCAAGGAGGAAGCCCCGGCUAACUACGUGCCAGCAGCCGCGGUAAUACGUAGGGGGCAAGCGUUGUCCGGAAUAAUUGGGCGUAAAGGGCGCGUAGGCGGCUCGGUAAGUCUGGAGUGAAAGUCCUGCUUUUAAGGUGGGAAUUGCUUUGGAUACUGUCGGGCUUGAGUGCAGGAGAGGUUAGUGGAAUUCCCAGUGUAGCGGUGAAAUGCGUAGAGAUUGGGAGGAACACCAGUGGCGAAGGCGACUAACUGGACUGUAACUGACGCUGAGGCGCGAAAGUGUGGGGAGCAAACAGGAUUAGAUACCCUGGUAGUCCACACUGUAAACGAUGAAUGCUAGGUGUAGGGGGUAUCGACCCCUUCUGUGCCGCAGUCAACACAAUAAGCAUUCCGCCUGGGGAGUACGGCCGCAAGGUUGAAACUCAAAGGA
rnacentral:rRNA from 1 species